rnacentral:rRNA from 1 species
GGGAAGGGAAGGGAAGGCAAGGGAAGGGAGAGGGAGCGCCCAGAUCCACGGCGGCAUCAGCGCGCCGUCCUCGACCUAAUCCGCGUCCGUCCACACAUGGGAGCUAAUCAACGCAGUAAAUCCCCGUCCCCGCGUCCGAGCCCCGCCACCCUUCGCAACGGCUCGACCGCCCAUCGACGCGCUGCCCACGCGGCGCCGACCAGUUCGGCUCUCAUGGCUGGUGGACGCGCCCUUGCUGUUGCCGAUGCCAGCUCGCUGUGCCGCACUGGCCCUCACAAGCGUCUUCUGUCAAUGGUUACAACUCACGUUCCUCUCUAUUUUCUCUUUAAAUUUUCUUUUGAGUCGGCCAGGAAGCAAGAACAUGUCGACUGACAUGACAAUUGAAGAUGAUUUGAGGAAUUUUUCCGUGUUUGGUAGAUGGACUUGAGAGGUCAAGGAGUUUCCAUUGGGACAUCGGGACAUGCUCCUCCAUCUCCUUUUAUGGACGACAUCCAACAUCGCCAGUUCAUGCACUUAUGGACUGAAGAAAAAAAUGGAAAUGAAGAAGAAAAGAAUAGCAAUAUUAUCAUAUGCGAGUCUAACAAACAUCUUGGAGGUGUGAAUGCUUUCUUGGGUCUGACAAGUAAUCAAUAAUUGAUGGUAUACUGGGAUUUUCCUCAUACUUCUAGCACUUCCUCAUUGACAAUAAAGCAAGUACUAUCACAACAAAGGCUAUCCAGGUAUUUUUUUUCAACUAUAAUCCUUCCAGCUUUAGGGACUGCUCAAUUGGAUCUGCACAAUCCAACAAAAUAAAUGUGCAUAGAGUCUGCGACACUUUCUUCCGAUCAUCACGAAGGUAGUUGUAGGAGUAAAAAAGUAUGUCAUACUGUUUUUUCAGUUCAAGCCAAAAGGCUAGGACAGGUAAUACUUGUUUUUACAGUACUUGUGCAAAAAGUAUGUCAUACUGUUUGCUCUAGAUGAUUUUGAUGACUUUCACAACCUUAUUUUCCGUUGUAUACCCCAAGAAAUGGUUUGCUUUCAUAGGGUUUAUUGAAUCCAGGAAAGAACUGUGAGUAGUAGCGAACCAGAAAUGAAAAGUUUCAGAGAACUACGAAAACUCCGGUCAGUUUUGUCGGGAUCUUGUGACACAGUUCCAGGACUCUAUUGACUAAGGUAAUGAUAUAUAUGUGUGAUUUAUCUUGUUAAAACUUUUAGUGUUCACUUAGAGGUGAGUGCAACGAGUAACUGAAUUUAGACUACGAACUAGAGUAUGACAGUAAAGUUAGGAGCAUGAUGGAGAACACAUGGGACAUUGAGGACUAAUGGUCAACACUUAAAUCUUGCUUUACAUAUAGUUCAGUUCCAAGUAGUCUGAUACAUAGAUGGCGAGGGGAGUGCUGAUUUGGGGUUGAUUUUGGUAAUUAUAUAUUUUCCUUGAUGACUAUCAUUUUGUUGUCCUACAUGUGCUAUAUGAUAUGCAUAACAACUUGAGAGCACCUUUGCUUCUCUUGAUGUGCUUCGUCAUACCGUUUUUUAAAGUGCACAAGCAAGCUUGCAAGUGAUGACAACUACUAUGACCUACAACCUUGAAUCUAGGUUUUUGGGGUUGAACAUAGGGGCACAACACGCUCCCUCGUCUAACUAGUGAAGCGUAAUGAAGGAAAAGCUACAGUAUACAAAUCAUUACCGUCAUUCAGUUUGUCCAAAACUAAGAAAAGCUCUUUAAAAAAACUGGGAAAAGCUCACGUGAUGGAAUGAGAUGAGAUUUCAACAUCAUGAUUGCGUUUUAUAAUUUGAACGACCAAAGUAGAUGGUCCAGUCAGCCCGUGUUUGACAAUAUGAAGGGACAAACUUGUUGAUCCAUUAUCUGGCCAGGAUAAUACAAUAAUUCAGAGGGCUUAGAUAUGGAUAAUAGAUCUGACCUAAUCUAGCAAGGUGAGUGACUCAAUUGCACAUGUGCAAAAUGGAAGUUUAAACUGAUGAAAGUCCUUUUGCGAUGACAAUGAUAGAGAAGAUUUGAAAGAUCUUGGUUGGCGUGGGGCAACUUGUGUUCCUGGAUGGGGGCGCCGUCCGGUGGCAGUGGGGUGUGGCAGUUGCCGCAGCUGGGCACAACCGGGAGUCCACCUAUCCAGAACAUCCAACUAUUUCAUCUGGUGAACUGCGAAGAGCUUCUGUGUGCAUCUCCGUUAUGUUUAACUACGACAGGCUUAUGUUAUCUUAUCGCGGACUCAUUUUUCAGUUUGUGCCCAACGUGACUGCAUGUAAAUAUGUAAUAUAGCAAUUUUGUUCUUCCUUUUUGUUGUUCGAUUGACUCUGUAUACCAUCUCAAAUGUCAUUCCCUUUAUAGCUAGCACAUCAUCUCCAAAGAAUUUAUUUAAGUUGAAAUCCAGUAAUUAUAUGUUGAUCGCAUAAGCAGGCUGAUGGUAUCUUCGUCGAAUUUUUUUAUUCCUUCUCUAUGGAACUAAAACUGUUCUUUCCUGAAUAGAUUGGAUCGCAAAGAACUAAACCUAUGUACAAUGUCUCUAGGCAUAUUCUGAAUUUGCAGAAUUAGCACAAACCUAAAAGCAUAUAUGCAGCUCCCAGAUGUUGCGGGCUAGAGGAAGGGCAGCAC